GGGAAUAUAUUGGAGGAUGUCGUGGUCAAAUUUGAGAUUAAUUGGAGGAAGGUUGGCGCAUGAAAUGACGAGAUAACAGUGUAUUUAGGGGUUAAAAACAGGACUUAGGACCAAUCUCCGAGAACCAAGGACUUGUUUAUAAUUAUUUUUGGGAGGUGGAGGGGCUGAUCUGCGAAUAAAGUUUGAGAGAGGUGGGAGGGUCUGUAUGCGACAGGGAAAAAGCGGAUGGGUGAAAACUCAAAAAGACCUUUCUUCUUCCUCAGGACAGAACGUCUUGUACGCCGAUUGGGAGGGCGGCACGGUUGGGGAUAGGUGGCGCCGG
rnacentral:lncRNA from 1 species